UCAGAGUUGGUGGAUCGUGAUGUGGUGCAUACAUCAGAGGAGGCUCACAGGAAUACUCUCAUAAAAGAUACCAUGAGGGAACAGUGCAUUCCAAAUCUGGUGGAAUCAUGGUACCAAAUAUCACAAAAUUAUCAGUAUACUAAUUCUGAAGUGAUGUGUCAGUGCCUUGAAGUAGUUGGGGCUUAUGUCUCUUGGAUUGACUUAUCCCUUUUAGCCAAUGAUAGGUUUAUAAAUAUGCUGCUAGGUCAUAUGUCAAUAGAAGUUCUACGGGAAGAAGCAUGUGACUGUUUAUUUGAAGUUGUAAAUAAAGGAAUGGACCCUGUUGAUAAAAUGAAACUAGUAGAAUCUUUGUGUCAAGUAUUACAGUCUGCUGGCUUUUUCAGCAUUGACCAGGAAGAAGAUGUUGACUUCUUUUCAGCAUUGACCAGGAAGAAGAUGUUGGCCAGAUUUUCUAAGCCGGUAAACGGAAUGGGACAGUCAUGGAUAGUUAGUUGGAGUAAAUUAACUAAGAAUGGGAAUAUUAAGAAUGCUCAAGAGGCACUACAAGCUAUUGAAACAAAAGUGGCACUGAUGUUGCAGCUACUAAUUCAUGAGGAUGAUGAUAUUUCUUCUAAUAUUGGAUUUUGUUAUGAUUAUCUUCAUAUUUUGAAACAGCUUACAGUGCUCUCGGAUCAGCAAAAAGCUAAUGUGGAGGCAAUCAUGUUGGCCGUUAUGAAAAAAUUGACUUAUGAUGAAGAAUAUAACUUUGAAAAUGAGGGUCAAGAUAAAGCCAUGUUUGUAGAAUAUAGAAAACAACUGAAGUUAGUGUUGGACAGGCUUGCUCAAGUUUCACGAGAGUUACUACUGGCCUCUGUUCGCAGAGUUUUUAGUUCUACACUGCAGAAUUGGCAGACUACACGGUUCAUGGAAGUUGAAGUAGCAAUAAGAUUGCUGUAUAUGUUGGCAGAAGCUCUUCCAGUAUCUAUCUCAUGGUGCUCACUUCUCAGGUGAUGUUUCAAAAGCUAGUGCUUUGCAGGGUAUGAUGCGAACUCUGGUAACAUCAGGAGUCAGUUCCUAUCAGCAUACAUCUGUGACGUUGGAGUUCUUCGAAACUGUUGUUAGAUAUGAAAAGUUUUUCACAGUUGAACCUCAGCACGUUCCAUGUGUACUAAUGGCUUUCUUAGAUCACAGAGGUCUGCGUCAUUCCAGUGCAAAAGUUCAGAGCAAGAUGGCUUACCUGUUUUCUAGAUUUGUCAAAUCUCUCAAUAAGCAAAUGAAUCCUUUCAUUGAGGAUAUUUUGAAUAGAAUACAAGAUUUAUUAAAGCUUUCUCCACCUGAGAAUGGCCACCAGUCCUUCCUGAGCAGCGAUGAUCAA
rnacentral:lncRNA from 1 species